rnacentral:rRNA from 1 species
CCCAGUUGAUCCUGCUGGACGUGUCUGCUAUCGGGGUGGGUAGCCAUGCGAGUCAGUGCCCAGGUUACCUGGGCACGGCGCACGGCUCAGUAAAACGUGCCUAAACUACCCUAUGGACCGGGAUAUCCCCUGGAAACGGGGGGUAAUCCCGGAUAGGUAUGGUGUGCUGGAAUGCCACCAUACCGAAAGUGCACAGGCAGGAUGUUGCCUGUGCAGCCAUAGGAUGUGGGCACGGCCUAUCAGGUUGAUGGUGGGGUAACGGCCCACCAUGCCUAAGACGGGUACGGGCCGUGAAAGCGGGAGCCCGGAGAUGGGUUCUGAGACAAGAACCCAGGCCCUACGGGGCGCAGCAGGCGCGAAACUUCUGCAAUGCGCGAAAGCGCGACAGAGUCACCCCGAGUGCCAUCCGCUGAGGAUGGCUUUUGCCCUAUGUAAAAAGUAGGGCGAAUAAGCGGGGGGCAAGUUCUGGUGUCAGCCGCCGCGGUAAUACCAGCCCCGCGAGUGGACACGACGAUUAUUGAGCCUAAAGCGUCCGUAGCCGGUUCUGCAAGUCCUCCCUUAAAUGGCACGGCUCAACCGUGCCGCGGGGGAGGAUACUACAGAACUAGGGGGCGGGAGAAGCGGGCGGUACUCGGGAGGUAGGGGCAAAAUCCUUUAAUCUCCCGAGGACCACCAGUGGCGGAGGCGGCCCGCUAGAACGCGCCCGACGGUGAGGGACGAAAGCUGGGGGAGCAAAAGGGAUUAGAGACCCCUGUAGUCCCAGCUGUCAACGCUGUGGGCUACCUGCUGGAUGGACUUAGAGUCCACUUAGUGGGGUAGGGAAGCCGUUAAGCCCACCGCCUGGGGAGUACGGCCGCAAGGCUGAAACUUAAAGGAAUAGGCGGGGGGGCACACAAGGGGUGGGGUGUGCGGUUUAAUGGGACCUAACACCGGAAACCUUACCGGGAGCGACAGCAGGAUGAUGGUCAGGCUGAAGACCUUACCGGACACGCUGAGAGGAGGUGCAUGGCCGUCGUCAGCUCGUGCCGUGAGGUAUCCUGUUAAGUCAGGAAACGA